rnacentral:rRNA from 1 species
UGGGGAAUAUUGGACAAUGGGCGAAAGCCUGAUCCAGCGAUGCCGCGUGUGUGAAGAAGGCCUGCGGGUUGUAAAGCACUUUCGGUGGGGAGGAGAGGCCCCGUACUAAUACUACGGGGAAGAGACGUUACCCACAUAAGAAGCACCGGCUAACUCUGUGCCAGCAGCCGCGGUAAUACAGAGGGUGCAAGCGUUAAUCGGAAUUACUGGGCGUAAAGGGCGCGUAGGCGGUUGCGUAAGUCAGAUGUGAAAUACUUCGGCUUAACCGGAGAACUGCAUUUGAAACUGCACAGCUAGAGUACAGGAGUGGGAAAUGGAAUUCCCGGUGUAGAGGUGAAAUUCGUAGAUAUCGGGAGGAACACCAGUGGCGAAGGCGAUUUCCUGGACUGAUACUGACGCUGAGGCGCGAAAGCGUGGGGAGCAAACAGG